UAAAAAGAACAAUAAUACGUAAUGUUACUCAAGUAAUAAUUCUAGGGAAUGUUGAAAUCCGUGGAGUCGAUAAAUAUCCUCCCCUGGGUUGGAAGCACAGAGCGCCGUCACAGAAGGAACCUAAACAAGUACGUUGUUCCUCCCCUGGGCUGGAAGAAGUACGGAGCACGUUGUUCCCACUAGCUCCGCCUAAUGGUACGGGACCACCCACAGCACGAGAAGUUGGUGAACCUUCGCCUGAAGCGGCACUUCGGACCGCUAACGACGUGUAUCUACUAGUAGGUCCACUAGCACUGCAGCCUCCAGUGGCUCCACCUCCAGGAGCUACGGAGGCAGGACCCCCUCCAGGUGGCCGCAGACUUGAGGUUCGAAACCAUCUAUGUAGAUAUCUUCACCAGACAAAUCCAACCACCACCUUGCGAUCCCUUCCAUGGGUGGAAAGCUACUACCAAUACAAGCAGACUACAAUUUACCCUACAGA
rnacentral:rRNA from 1 species